rnacentral:rRNA from 1 species
UUGAACGCUGGCGGCAGGCCUAACACAUGCAAGUCGAACGGUAACAGGGAUCAGCUUGCUGAUUCGCUGACGAGUGGCGGACGGGUGAGUAAUGUCUGGGAAACUGCCUGAUGGAGGGGGAUAACUACUGGAAACGGUAGCUAAUACCGCAUAACGUCGCAAGACCAAAGAGGGGGACCUUCGGGCCUCUUGCCAUCGGAUGUGCCCAGAUGGGAUUAGCUAGUAGGUGGGGUAACGGCUCACCUAGGCGACGAUCCCUAGCUGGUCUGAGAGGAUGACCAGCCCCACUGGAACUGAGACACGGUCCAGGCUCCUACGAGAGGGAGCAGUGGGGAAUAUUGCACAAUGGGCGCAAGCCUGAUGCAGCCAUGCCGCGUGUAUGAAGAAGGCCUUCGGGUUGUAAAGUACUUUCAGCGGGGAGGAAGGGAGUAAAGUUAAUACCUUUGCUCAUUGACGUUACCCGCAGAAGAAGCACCGGCUAACUCCGUG